rnacentral:lncRNA from 1 species
GAGACCAAGAUUACCCUAUAGAAGACAGACAUAUAAAAAAAAUCAAAGCAAAAUUUCCAAUCAUAAAAAAUUAAAAAUUAAAAAUCAAAAUAAAUAACAAUUAAAACAAUGAGAAUCAAAUAUAAUACAAAAAAUAAAUUAAAAAUAAUUAUGGAUUAAAUUGAAAAACAAAAUAAAUGAAAAAAAGAUUAAAAAAAUAGGAAUAAAAAAUAAGGACCAAAAUUGGAUACAAAAUUAAAUAAAAAAUAAAUCAAGCAAAGGAUAAAAAAAU